rnacentral:piRNA from 1 species
UGGAACUGGAGUUACGGAUGGCUGUGAGC